AACCUUCUAGGUAAUCUGGAAGGAAAGGAACGUGAGGAUUUUUUUAAAAAAGAAUCCACAAGCGAUAGAGUUUUCUUCAGAGCUAGAGAUGAAUUAGAUAGUUGGACGAUGGCGGGGCUAAACACCUCGCCACCCUUGCCGGCCAGACUUAGCUAGUCCUGCGCCACAAUUUUCUCUUUUUCCUCCUUUUUUGAUCUAGCCAAGGCCCAUCUGGAAUGCCCUUCUUUUUAAUAUAAUUGACG
rnacentral:lncRNA from 1 species